rnacentral:rRNA from 1 species
GAUGAACGCUGGCGGCGUGCCUAAUACGUGCAAGUCGAGCGAACAGACGAGGAGCUUGCUCCUCUGACGUUAGCGGCGGACGGGUGAGUAACACGUGGAUAACCUACCUAUAAGACUGGGAUAACUUCGGGAAACCGGAGCUAAUACCGUAUAACAUGUUGAACCGCAUGGUUCAACAGUGAAAGACGGUCUUGCUGUCACUUAUAGAUGGAUCCGCGCCGCAUUAGCUAGUUGGUAAGGUAACGGCUUACCAAGGCAACGAUGCGUAGCCGACCUGAGAGGGUGAUCGGCCACACUGGAACUGAGACACGGUCCAGACUCCUACGGGAGGCAGCAGUAGGGAAUCUUCCGCAAUGGGCGAAAGCCUGACGGAGCAACGCCGCGUGAGUGAAGAAGGUCUUCGGAUCGUAAAACUCUGUUAUUAGGGAAGAACAAAUGUGUAAGUAACUAUGCACGUCUUGACGGUACCUAAGCAGAAAGCCACGGCUAACUACGU